CCUACGGGAGGCAGCAGUGGGGAAUCUUGCGCAAUGGCCGAGAGGCUGACGCAGCGACGCCGCGUGGGGGAUGAAGCAUUUCGGUGUGUAAACCCCUGUUGCUCGGGACGAACGAUCCUUUUCGAGGGAUGUGACGGUACCGAGUGAGGAAGCACCGGCUAACUCCGUGCCAGCAGCCGCGGUAAUACGGAGGGUGCGAGCGUUGUCCGGAAUCACUGGGCGUAAAGGGCGCGUAGGUGGUUCGAUGCGCCGGUGGUGAAAGCGCAGGGCUCAACCCUGCGUCGGCCAUCGGGACGGUCGGACUGGAGCACUGUAGAGGCAGGUGGAAUUCCGGGUGUAGCGGUGGAAUGCGUAGAGAUCCGGAAGAACACCGGUGGCGAAGGCGGCCUGCUGGGCAGUUGCUGACACUGAGGCGCGACAGCGUGGGGAGCAAACAGGAUUAGAUACCCUGGUAGUCCACGCCGUAAACGAUGGGCACUAGGUGCUUGGGGGAGCGACCCCCUGAGUGCCGACGCUAACGCAUUAAGUGCCCGCCUGGGGAGUACGACCGCAAGGUUGAAACGUUAAAGGAAUUGACGG
rnacentral:rRNA from 1 species